GGAGGAGGAGGAGGGCGGGGCGCCGUUUGAAAAACCGCGGCCAAGACUGAAGAUUCGAACCGAGAGCGGUGGACACACACACUGGGAACGCCCCUCACGUGAUGUCAUGGGCACGUGGGCUUGAAGUAAAAGCCACAGUUAUGUUCCAGAGUGAACAGAACAGCACGAAAAAGAUCAAUAAGGUCAAGAUUAAUGAGUGCCUUCAUUAGAUUGUGAUGUCGCUUCUGUCAAAAAGUGGUACAGCAAGGAUCAUAUUUCCUGUGCCGUGGCAGACCACCUUUAACAAGCCCCUGGACAGUUUGGCAGUGGAGGCUAC